CCGCAGCUCUGGCUUCAGCUUUUACUAUGGCGGAAUCCACGGAAACGAUAAUCGCCCGCGCUUUUUCGCGCGACCGUGAUUUUUUGACACAACAGUGUAUAGAUAGUGUAAAAAUCUUGUGAAUGUGAACAUAAAGGACACACCCCACGACGUACUGGCGACGUACUCGUUUUACACUACAUUGUUUCUAUAUUUGGCAAUAAUAAAUAUAUAUUCCAGCUUUCCUAAAUACAUAUUCAGCGGAAAAGGAGAAUAUAACCAUAACAUAAGCCUAAACGCAAACCCAAAUCUUCGUGCAUAUAAUCGCAAUCUAGCUUUCCAUUUCUUCGUGUUAUUUCAUAAAAUUAUAUUAUGUCUAAAUCAAAAUUAAGAUUAGACAUUACUUGUUUAACGCCAAGACAGCGGAGACGAAUUUUUGUAAAGGAACUCUAUAAUGUUUCCCAAAUGACUGUUGACUCAAAUAGUUCAGAAGUUCAAAAUGACAUUGUAAGUGGAUCAAAUGGACCAGAUAACAUUGAACAAUUACCUCAGCAGCAAAAUUUAUCAAGAA